ensembl:snoRNA SNORA70 Small nucleolar RNA SNORA70
UUGCAGCUAAUUAAGCCGACCAGGUCCCGCUCCCCAUGGUUGCAAACAGCAGCCUCCUUGGUAGUGUAUGCAGCCUGCUGCCUAUGUGGGCUGCCCUACGGGAACCUUGGAGACAAUU